rnacentral:rRNA from 1 species
UUCGCAAUGCCCGAAAGGGUGACGAAGCGACGCCGCGUGCGGGAAGAAGGCCUUCGGGUUGUAAACCGCUGUCGGGAGUUAAGAAAUGUAAGGAUGUUAAUAGCAUCUUUACUUGACUAAGGCUCCGGAGGAAGCCACGGCUACUCUGUGCCAGCAGCCGCGGUAAUACAGAGGCGGCAAGCGUUGUUCGGAAUUAUUGGGCGUAAAGAGCACGUAGGCGGCUAUGUAAGUCGGUUGUGAAAGCCUUCCGCUCAACGGGAGAACAGCAUCCGAUACUGCAUGGCUUGAGUGCGGGAGGGGAGAGUGGAACUUCUGGUGGAGCGGUGAAAUGCGUAGAUAUCAGAAGGAACGCCGGCGGCGAAAGCGGCUCUCUGGCCCAUAACUGACGCUGAGUGUGCGAAAGCUAGGGGAGCAAACGGGAUUAGAUACCCCGGUAGUCCUAGCCGUAAACGAUGGGCACUAAGUAGAGGGGUUUU